rnacentral:rRNA from 1 species
CAGUAGCCGCGGUAAUACGGAGGGGGCUAGCGUUGUUCGGAAUUACUGGGCGUAAAGCGCACGUAGGCGGUUUUGUAAGUCAGAGGUGAAAGCCCGGAGCUCAACUCCGGAACUGCCUUUGAGACUGCAUCACUUGAACGUCGGAGAGGUGAGUGGAAUUCCGAGUGUAGAGGUGAAAUUCGUAGAUAUUCGGAAGAACACCAGUGGCGAAGGCGGCUCACUGGACGACUGUUGACGCUGAGGUGCGAAAGCGUGGGGAGCAAACAGGAUUAGAUACCCCUGUAGUCCCUGUCUCUUAUAC